rnacentral:rRNA from 1 species
AGUGAACGCUGGCGGUAGGCCUAACACAUGCAUGUCGAACGGCAGCACAGGAGAGCUUGCUCUCUGGGUGGCGAGUGGCGGACGGGUGAGGAAUACAUCGGAAUCUACUUUUUCGUGGGGGAUAACGUAGGGAAGCUUACGCUAAUACCGCAUACGACCUACGGGUGAAAGCAGGGGAUCUUCGGACCUUGCGCGAUUGAAUGAGCCGAUGUCGGAUUAGCUAGUUGGCGGGGUAAAGGCCCACCAAGGCGACGAUCCGUAGCUGGUCUGAGAGGAUGAUCAGCCACACUGGAACUGGGACACGGUCCAGACUCCUACGGGAGGAAGCAGUGGGGAAUAUUGGACAAUGGGCGCAAGCCUGAUCCAGCCAUACCGCGUGGGUGAAGAAGGCCUUCGGGUUGUAAAGCCCUUUUGUUGGGAAAGAAAUCCAGCUGGUUAAUACCCGGUUGGGAUGACGGUACCCAAAGAAUAAGCACCGGCUAACUUCGUGCCAGCAGCCGCCGUAA